rnacentral:tRNA from 1 species
GGGAUAGGUGCAGAGACUCAACGGAAGCUGUUCUAACAAAUGGAGUUGGCUGGGUUAGUAGAGAAAUCUUUUCAUCGAAAAUUCCGAAAGGAUAAAGUGAAAGAUAAAGGUAUAUAUGUAUUGAAUACUAUAUCAAAUGACUAAUGACGACUCGACUGAAUCUGUAUUUUUUAUAUGAAAACGGAAGAGUUGGUGUGACUAGAUUCCACAUUGAAGAAAGAAUCGAAUAUUCAUUGAUUAAAUGAUUCACUCCAUAGUCUGAUAGAUCUUUUCAAGAAUUGAUUAAUCGGACGAGAAUAAAGAUAGAGCCCCGUUCUACAUGUCAAUGUCGGCAACAAUGAAAUUUAUAGUAAGAGGAAAAUCCGUCGACUUUAA